rnacentral:rRNA from 1 species
GAUGAACGCUGGCGGCGUGCCUAAUACAUGCAAGUCGAGCGAACAGAUAAGGAGCUUGCUCCUUUGACGUUAGCGGCGGACGGGUGAGUAACACGUGGGUAACCUAUCUAUAAGACUGGAAUAACUCCGGGAAACCGGGGCUAAUGCCGGAUAACAUGUUGAACCGCAUGGUUCUACAGUGAAAGGCGGCUUUGCUGUCACUUAUAGAUGGACCCGCGCCGUAUUAGCUAGUUGGUGAGGUAACGGCUCACCAAGGCAACGAUACGUAGCCGACCUGAGAGGGUGAUCGGCCACACUGGAACUGAGACACGGUCCAGACUCCUACGGGAGGCAGCAGUAGGGAAUCUUCCGCAAUGGGCGAAGGCCUGACGGAGCAACGCCGCGUGAGUGAUGAAGGUCUUCGGAUCGUAAAACUCUGUUAUUAGGGAAGAACAAAUGCGUAAGUAACUGUGCGCGUCUUGACGGUACCUAAUCAGAAAGCCACGGCUAACUACGUG